CGGCGGCGGCGGGAGGGCAGGCCGUGCUCUGCACGGAGAAAGACCUCGUGAAGCUGCGGACCGCGGCGUUCGCAGGGUUCAAUCCCUCGCUGCCGA
rnacentral:tRNA from 1 species